rnacentral:rRNA from 1 species
GUUUGAUCCUGGCUCAGGAUGAACGCUGGCGGCGUGCCUAAUACAUGCAAGUCGAACGAGUUCUGAUUAUUGAAAGGUGCUUGCAUCUUGAUUUAAUUUUGAACGAGUGGCGGACGGGUGAGUAACACGUGGGUAACCUGCCCUUAAGUGGGGGAUAACAUUUGGAAACAGAUGCUAAUACCGCAUAAAUCCAAGAACCGCAUGGUUCUUGGCUGAAAGAUGGCGUAAGCUAUCGCUUUUGGAUGGACCCGCGGCGUAUUAGCUAGUUGGUGAGGUAACGGCUCACCAAGGCAAUGAUACGUAGCCGAACUGAGAGGUUGAUCGGCCACAUUGGGACUGAGACACGGCCCAAACUCCUACGGGAGGCAGCAGUAGGGAAUCUUCCACAAUGGACGCAAGUCUGAUGGAGCAACGCCGCGUGAGUGAAGAAGGCUUUCGGGUCGUAAAACUCUGUUGUUGGAGAAGAAUGGUCGGCAGAGUAACUGUUGUCGGCGUGACGGUAUCCAACCAGAAAGCCACGGCUAACUACGUGCCAGCAGCCGCGGUAAUACGUAGGUGGCAAGCGUUAUCCGGAUUUAUUGGGCGUAAAGCGAGCGCAGGCGGUUUUUUAAGUCUGAUGUGAAAGCCCUCGGCUUAACCGAGGAAGUGCAUCGGAAACUGGGAAACUUGAGUGCAGAAGAGGACAGUGGAACUCCAUGUGUAGCGGUGAAAUGCGUAGAUAUAUGGAAGAACACCAGUGGCGAAGGCGGCUGUCUGGUCUGUAACUGACGCUGAGGCUCGAAAGCAUGGGUAGCGAACAGGAUUAGAUACCCUGGUAGUCCAUGCCGUAAACGAUGAAUGCUAGGUGUUGGAGGGUUUCCGCCCUUCAGUGCCGCAGCUAACGCAUUAAGCAUUCCGCCUGGGGAGUACGACCGCAAGGUUGAAACUCAAAGGAAUUGACGGGGGCCCGCACAAGCGGUGGAGCAUGUGGUUUAAUUCGAAGCAACGCGAAGAACCUUACCAAAUCUUGACAUCCUUUGACAACUCUAGAGAUAGAGCCUUCCCCUUCGGGGGACAAAGUGACAGGUGGUGCAUGGUUGUCGUCAGCUCGUGUCGUGAGAUGUUGGGUUAAGUCCCGCAACGAGCGCAACCCUUAAGCUUAGUUGCCAUCAUUAAGUUGGGCACUCUAAGUUGACUGCCGGUGACAAACCGGAGGAAGGUGGGGAUGACGUCAAAUCAUCAUGCCCCUUAUGACCUGGGCUACACACGUGCUACAAUGGAUGGUACAACGAGUUGCGAGACCGCGAGGUCAAGCUAAUCUCUUAAAGCCAUUCUCAGUUCGGACUGUAGGCUGCAACUCGCCUACACGAAGUCGGAAUCGCUAGUAAUCGCGGAUCAGCACGCCGCGGUGAAUACGUUCCCGGGCCUUGUACACACCGCCCGUCACACCAUGAGAGUUUGUAACACCCGAAGCCGGUGGCGUAACCCUUUUAGGGAGCGAGCCGUCUAAGGUGGGACAAAUGAUUAGGGUGAAGUCGUAACAAGGUAGCCGUAGGAGAACCUGCGGCUG